AGAGCGAACGCUGGCGGCAGGCUUAACACAUGCAAGUCGAGCGGAUGUAGCAAUACAUCAGCGGCAGACGGGAUAGUAACACGUGGGAACGCGCCCUUUGGUUCGGAAUAACUCAGGGAAACUUGAGCUAAUACCGGAUAAGCCCUUACGGGGAAAGAUUUAUCGCCAAAGGAACGGCCCGCGUCCGAUUAGCUAGUUGGUGAGGUAAUGGCUCACCAAGGCGACGAUCGGUAGCUGGUCUGAGAGGAUGACCAGCAUCACUGGGACUGAGACACGGCCCAGACUCCUACGGGAGGCAGCAGUGGGGAAUCUUGCACAAUGGGCGAAAGCCUGAUGCAGCGACGCCGCGUGAGGGAUGACUGCCUUCGGGUUGUAAACCUCUUCAGCAGGGACGAAGCGAAAGUGACGGUACCUGCAGAAGAAGCACCGGCCAACUACGCGCCAGCAGCCGC
rnacentral:rRNA from 1 species